rnacentral:lncRNA from 1 species
AAAUAUGCAAAUUAUUAAAUUUGAAGAUUGUUAUUUCCAAGAUCUUCUAUAAAUGAUCGAAUUCCGUUACUUCAUCUAAACCAGUUGCCUAACAACGAGAGGAGGGGAGAAGGUUGAAAAAAACUGGAAGAAAUAAGUUGCAGGUUUUUUACAGAGGUGCGUUUGAUUGAUGCUUCUUAUAUUACCAUCAUUUAAUUAUAAUUAUUACAUAUUAUCAAUGGCAGAUCAAAAACGGAGGAUAUGAAGAGAUCGCCGUCGCCAAACCCGAGCUCUUUUACAUCCAAUCUUCUUGGAGGGAGGUUUUGUCUUUGUUCUCCGACGACGCAUCCCGGCUCUUUCCGACGACGCUUGCAUCCACCGUAACGAAAACAAACAAUCAAAUCAUCGGGGUGCCAAUACCAUCAAGAACUUUGUUCCCUCCUCCAAGACCGAAGAAAAUAUCUAUUACCUCAACUACUGCAACUAAAGUUUUUGAUUCCACCGAGGUGUCAUAAUCAAGAACUUUGUUCCCUCCUCCUCGACCAAGGAAUUUAUCUUCCGAAACUGAAUUUCUUGAUUCUACAGAGAAUAAAGAAACAACAUCACACUCCUGACAAGAAUAAAUAAGAUGAAUUCAAAUUCAAAUUUUAUUGGAUUUUUUUAAAUAAUUUCAAGCAUUUUUCUUCUUUAUUAAAUUCCAAUAUCGGCAUUAUAAUGUAAUCUGAAACACAGUAAAACAGUUGUUUGCUUAUGAAAUACUAUAAAUAUUGAUGAUCCUAUGAUAAUUAUUAGAAAGGUUUAAUAAACAACAUUUUCAGGAUAAACAGAGCUGUUGAUUCAUUAUUGGCAUCAAAGAUUUGCAACCAUUGCCAGUUUCUGAAGAAAGGAAAUAAAAAAAAAAAAGAUAAGAAAUCAAGAUUGAACUAACUUUCAACUUAUUUGCAAUCUGACCCAACAACCGCAUCCACCAAUUGAUCGAUCUUCUUGUCGGAAUUCUUGACGUCCACCACCUCCCCAUCUCCAGAUCGAUUAUCUCCGCCUUCGUCGCCGGAAUCGGAAAGGUCAAGGGACCGUGACCGACUGACGUAGAGGGGAACCGAAGUACUAAUGUGAGAUGCAGAUAUUAUGGACAUUGAUAGCGGUUAUCUGUGGUAUGAAUCGAGGGUGGUGCACGACUAGAUCCCGUGCGGGUUGAUUUUAUAUCCAAGGAAAUGUCCUUAUGUCACCUUGAACGUGCAUUUCUUGGCCUUCAAACGUAGGUCUACCUUUCGGAUGUUGGCUAAAUUUAAUUUCUUUCAGGUUGGACAUGUGGUCUUGUUAUACAUUGGACUGGACUAAGAUAUCAUUUACGUAUACCUCGACAUUCCUUUCUAUCUGGUUCGCGAAGAUUCGGUCCAUUAACCUCUGGAAUGUUGUUCCUCUUAAAAUUGGUGCGUCUCUGUUUCAAUCUUCGAGGAAGAAACGCACACUGGCCGGCGGAGAUUUCUCACCGGACGACGAGGAAUCAACUAACAAGGGGGCUGAAUUAGGGUUAUUCGAUUUAACCAACAGCCCCCGUUAGUUAGUACUGUAGACUUGCAAUUAGUUGAAACCUUGUUUAGAGAAAAUGUGUGUGUUUUCAUUGAAUUAACCAUUCAAUUACAAUUCACUACUUAUUGACUAAACACAAGCAGAUUAACCUUAACAACAAACUAACUAAUUAACUAUCUUUAAUUAACUAAUUUGUUGUUGGGCCUCACCUCGGCCCAUUCGUCAUUUAAUUCAUUAGCCCAUCAGUGUUUUAAUUGGUGAAGUUGCAGUUUCACCCUUGAACAUGUGAAGUUGUAUUAUCCUGAUAACCUGCACUCAUAUUUAAUUGUAUAUUAGUCCAGUAGUUAUAUGUUUAAAACUAAACCUUGUUAAUUACUUCUUUACUCCCCCCUCAAGUUCUGGAAUAAAUAUUUAUGAUUCCAAGCUUGACAGAGGCUGAAGUAAUCUCAUUUUCACCUAAUGGUUUGGUGAACAUAUCCGCCAAUUGGUACUUUGUCCCAAUUUGCUUUAGACUAAGCACUUCUUGAGUGAUUAGUUCUCUAAUAAAAUGGCAAUCUAUCUCUAUGUGCUUUGUCCUUUCAGACAGGGUUAUUGGCUAGAUUGAUUGCUGAUUUAUUAUCACAAUAGAUGGUUGUUCUAUUGUUGGUUUUGAUUUUCAUUUCCUUAAUUAACUGGUGGAUCCAUAUUACUUCAUAGGCUGUCUGAGCUAUUGCUCUGUAUUCAGCCUCACAUGAGGAUCUCGAUAUAGUUGCUUGUUUCUUGGAUUUCCAGGAAAUUACUGAGUUUCCUAUUAGUGUGCAAAAGCCAGUUACUGACUUCCUGCUAAUUUGACAUCCUGCCCAGUCAGAGUCACAGAAUGCAUGGAUGUUUAAAUUUUCAUUUGGUUUAUAAAGGAUGCCCUGACCUGGUGCUCCUUUUAGAUACCUGAGUACUUUAAACAGAGCUUUUAAAUGAACUUCUUUUGGUUCACUCAUGAACUGGCUUAGCCAGUGAACUGCAUAACUUAGGUCAGGUCUGGUGAUAUUUAGAUAUAUCAGCUUCCCAACUAAUUUUCUAUAAAAUGUUGGGUCUCCAAUUUGUUUAGAUUCAUUUCUAAGAUAUAUGUUUUUCUCCAUAGGUAUUUUAGAUUCUUUUGCACCUGAGAUAUCACUUUCUGCAAGUAUCUCUAGGGCAUAUUUUCUUUGAGAUAAUAAUAUCCCUUCACUAGAAUGAGAAACUUCAAUUCCUAGAAAAUAGUUUAAUUUUCCAAGAUCUUUUAGUUUGAAUUUAUUUUCUAGUUGUAUUUUUAGAAAUGCUAUUUCUAAUUCAUUACUUUCUGUGAUGAUUAUAUCAUCUACAUAGACUAUCAAAUAUAUUAUGUUUUCAUUUUUCUCUCUUAUAAAAAGGGAGUAGUUUGAUUUGGUUUGUAUGAACCCAAACUCUAACAAUGUGUUUCUGAGUUUCUCAAACCAGUUCCUAGAAGCCUGUUUAAGGCCAUAUAGGGAUUUUUUAAAUCUACACACUCUCUUGUCUCCUUCUUUAAGGAGCCCUUGAGGUGGUUUUAUGUAUACUUCUUCAUGAAGAUCACCAUGUAGAAAUGCAUUAUUUACAUCAAUUUGAUAUAAAUUCCAUCUUUUCUGAGAUGCAAUUGCAUUUAGUAUUCUUACUGUUGUCAUCUUUGCAACUGGUGCAAAGGUUUCAUAAAAAUCAAAACCCUCCUUUUGAGAGAAGCAUUUGGCUACUAGCCUGGCCUUGUACCUCUCAAUAUCUCCAUUUGGUUUAUACUUAAUUUUGUAUAUCCACUUGGACCCUACUGUUUUUCUUCCUUUGGGAAGUUCAGUAAUGUCCCAAGUGUUGUUUGUAAUGAGGGCUUCCAUUUCAGUUUUCAUUGCAACUACCCACUUUGGGUCAUUAGAUGCCUCAUUGAAUGUGGUCGGUUCAUUGAUUUGGUUUAUUUGUUUGAGAAAUUCUUUAUGUUUGUCAUUUACCCUAUGAUAUGAUGCAUAGUUACUCAUAGGGUACUUGGUUUUCUUGGAUGGACCAUCAUCCAUGUCAAAAUCAUUAAAGUGUUUUGGUUUGGUUAUCACUCUGCCCAACCUUGUUUUCUUUACAACUUGGGUUAGUAUAAUUUCUAAUUCUUUAUUUCCACUCUUUUUAUUUUGACCUUCAGUUUCCAAAGAUGUUGGAUUUUUAUUUUUGUUGGCAUGAUGCCUAUUUAUACUGUUUUGAUUUUGAAAAUCCUGAGCUGAAACUCCUUUAUUGUGACUCUGUGUAUCUGAGUUACCCAUGGAUGUUUCUUGCUCUGAACUUAAUAUUCUGGACUUUUUGUUGUUUGAGUCUGUAUCAGUUUGGGUGUUAUAGCACUCUUCUGAUAUGGACUGAUAUUCUAGAGUGAGAUUUGACUGACUAGCCUGGUUAUUUCCAGGUAUAUCUGGCCUGCCUGAACUCACUCUGGAUUCUUUAUUUUCUGAUUUAUUUUCAGAAUUAUUUCCAGUUAUAUCUGGCCUAUCUGAAUUCAUUUUGGAUUCUUUAUUUUCUGAUUUUUUUCAGAAUUUUUUUCAGUUCUUGUUUGAUCUUUGGGUUUUGAAAAAGUUUUGGAUUGAUGUGUUUCUAUUACAUCAUUGAAUAUUUUUUGCAAUGGAAAAAUAUCAAUUGUUUUAUUUAGAUGAUCACCUUGAGAUGAUCACCUUGAGAUGUUGUAUGUUGAAAUGGAAAAAUAUCUUCUCUAAAAAUAACAUCUCUACUUAUGCAGAAUUUUUGAUCUUCUAAGCAUAAUAUUAGGUAUCCUUUUACAUUGGGGGGUAUCCCAUAAACACUCCUCUAAAGGUCAUUGGGGAGAAUUUAUGUUCUCUUUUAUUUGUUGUUGCAUAACACAAGCAUCCAAAAGUUCUUAAGAACUUAUACUUUGGUUUUUGUUUGUGUAGAAUUUCAUAUGGAGUGCUAUUAUUUAACAUUUUUGAUGGAAUUCUAUUUAUUAUAUAUGUUGCAGCCAAAAUACAUUCUCCCCAAUAUUUUAUGGGUAUAUUAGCUUGUAUGUGCAAAGAUCUAGCUAUAUUUAAUAGACAUUUAUGUUUUCUUUCAACCUUUGCAUUUUGUUGAGGGUUGUAGGGGCAUGUGACUUGGUGUAGAAUUCCAAGAUUUUCAAGCAUAUGUUUGAACUUAGAGGACUUAAAUUCUCCACCAUUAUCACUUCUAAUUAUUUUUAUAUUUUUGUCAAAAAAGUUUUUAACUUUUGUGAUGAAUCUUUUUAUACAAUCAUAAGCCAUGGAUUUAUCUUUAAUUAGAUAUAUCCAAGUUGAUCUACUUAAAUCUUCCACAAUUGUGAGAAAGUAUUUGAAACCAUCAUGGGUCUCAAAUGGAAACUUGCCUCAAAUGUCAAUGUGUAUUAGGUCAAAUAAAUUUUCACUUACUGUGGUGUUUUUGUUAUAUUUUAGUUUAUUUUGUUUUGAUAGUGGGCAUACAUCACAAUCUUUACUUGAAAAAAUUUUAUUUGAAAAAACAUAAUUUUUAUUUUUAUUUGAAAAAACAGAAUUUUGAUUCAAAACAGAAUUAUUCUAAAAAUUGUUACAAUCACUCUUUUUAUCAGAGUGUUUUCUAUUCAAACUACAAUCUACUUGUUUGUCUCUAAUUAACACAGCAAGCUUCUCAUUUGAAAUGUGUCCAAGCCUGUUGUGCCAAAUUUUAGUUUCUAGGGAGGUAUAUGCAAAUCCAGGAGGGUAGGGUUGUAUAUAUAAAGCCCAUCUUGGCACCUACCCUUCCCAGUCACUCUCCCUGACUUGCUUUCCUAAAAAAAAAGCAAUUUUUAUUGUCAAAUAGCAUUUUAAGAUUACUAUCCAUAGUUAGCUUAUUAACUGAUAUCAAGUUCACUUUGAACUGUGGUAUGUAUAGAACAUCCUCUAGAAUAAUAUCCUUGGAAUGUGUUAUUUUUCCUGUGGAUUUUGUUUUACAAAUUUCACCACUUGGAAUGGUGACAAAAUGUUCAUCUUUUUCAAUGGGUGGUUCAUCAAAAUACUGAAGAUUCCCAGUCAUGUAUUGGGAAGCUCCAGUAUCUAUGAUCCAUUCAUUUUUAAUAUUUAUCAUGUUAUAUGCAUGACUAAUUUUAAAAAAAAAUAAAACAUUAAAAAAAUAACUCAUACCAUUUGAUUUUAUGAAAUCCUUGAGCAUGAGGAGUUCUUCAUUUGAUAUCCCUUGUAUGGCAGAUGUUGAGGCUUGAUUUGCUGUCUCAACUUUGGCCUUUUUGUUUUUGUUCCAUUUCUUGGAGGGAUCUUUGUUUUUAUCAUUUGGGAAUCCUAUGAUGUGGUAACAAUCCUUCCUAACAUGCCCGUAGUAUUUACAAUUAUCGCAAUAUUUUGAAUUAUCUAGCUUCUUUCCACUCUUGCUAUAUAAACAUUUUUCUUCUUCUUUUUCAUUGGUUUUCUUAGCAAAUAGAGCAGAUUCCAUGCUAGUUUUGUCAUUUCUAAAAAUGGUUUUCUGUUUUUCUUCUUGUAUAAUCAAAUAGAAUACUUUGCUCAUACUAGGUAAUUCAUCAUAAGAGAGGAUUUGGCCUCUUAGUGUCUUGAACUCUUCAUUUAACUCCAAAAGGAAUUGAUGGAUUUUAUCCUUUUCCAUCUUCCUACUGUAUUUUGGGGUGCAUAGGUUGCAAAAAUCUAUAUUUUCUAACUCUAAUUUUUGAUUCCAUAAGGCUUUAAAUUUAUCAUAAAAAAUUAUGACUGAAUCACUACCUUGAUGUAAAUUAUUCAGAUCAUACCUCACUUGAUUUACCUUUGGAGCAUUUUCUUGAUCGUACCUUUCUUGAAGGUCUUUCCAAGCUGUACUUGCAGCUUCAGUAUGCAUGAGUAUGGAGGCAAUUUGAGGGGAUACACUGUUAACAAUCCAAGAAAGAACUAGCCCGUUAACAGUUUCCCAUGCUUCAAAUUCCUUCCCUGUUAUAUCCUUUGGUUUUCUGAUUUUACCAUUGAUGAAAUUGAUUUUCCUUCUUGAGAGCAAUGAUAGCUUUAUUGCAUUUGCCCAGGUUGCAUAAUUGGCCUCUCCUGUCAAUUUUUCUCCGACCAUAAGUGCCCCUGGGUGAUCACCGGAGUUCAAGUAAUAAACUGAUUCUUUAUCAUUGAUUGCAGAGACGUGAUCUCUUCUUCUUGACUUGCUGGAUCGAUGGUGGGACUUAUGGUGGGAUUUACGUCGAUGAGAUUUGUGGCGUGGAGAAUGCAGUAUUGAUGUAGGAGAAGAUGCGGCAACACUUGAACCAGUUGGCGUGCCUUUUUCUGGAAAGGCAUUGCUCUUAAUCUUGCUUGCGGAAGCGUCGAAAUUACCGGCUGAUACCAUCUUAAAAUUGGUGUGUCUCUGUUUCAAUCUUCGAGGAAGAAACGCGCACUGGCCGGCGGAGAUUUCUCACCGGACGACGAGGAAUCAACUAACAAGGGGGCUGAAUUAGGGUUAUUCGAUUUAACCAACAGCCCGUUAGUUAAUUAGUACUGUAGACUUGCAAUUAGUUGAAACCUUGUUUAGAGAAAAUGUGUGUGUUUUCAUUGAAUUAACCAUUCAAUUACAAUUCACUACUUAUUGACUAAACACAAGCAGAUUAACCUUAACAACAAACUAACUAAUUAACUAUCUUUAAUUAACUAAUUUGUUGCUGGGCCUCUUUCACCAUUGUCUAAACACCUCGGCCCAUUCGUCAUUUAAUUCAUUAGCCCAUCAGUGUUUUAAUUGGUGAAGUUGCAGUUUCACCCUUGAACAUGUGAAGCUGUAUUAUCCUGAUAACCUGCACUCAUAUUUAAUAGUAUAUUAGUCCAGUAGUUAUAUGUUUAAAACUAAACCUUGUAAAUUACUUCUUUAGUUCCCACGUUCCGGAGCCCGAACGGCAUUACCCGGAAAAAGAACGUGUCAUGCUCGGUUAUGAAAGACGUUUUUUUCGGUCCUGCUUCGCCCAGUAUGCUGCCGAAUCGGACAUCAUCCGGCGCGCUUUCGGGAGUACGCCUUCUCCUUCUAACGCCAGGAACACUUCUCUUUGGUUUGGUCCGGACUCGACCUGUUUGCGGGACCCGGUGUAUGGUGCUUUCCCCUUGUUGUUCUAGGACCUCGAGGGGUAAUGCUUUGUAGGAAGGAGAUGCUCCCUCCUUUUGGUGUCAGUUAUUAUAUCCCCCUCCUCUCCUCUUUUGACAUUGCAUCGCUUGUUUAAAUUUCGGGACCAGGUAAUCCUCCGUGUUCAUCACGCCUUGGGCUCAGGACAACGACGACGAACCGGGUCCCUCUCAGCCCGUUGAGUAAGGCCAUCAUUAUCGUCGAUUCAUCGGCUUCUUCCAGCUAUUGGACCGCCAUGACGAACCGGUUCGUGUCACCCCAGAGGGUCUCAUUAUCACCCUAUGAGAAACCCAAGAGGGUUGUUAAUCUCUUCUUCGCUGUCUUUAAAGUUUAAAGGGUCAUAAUACUUAUAAUAAUACAAAGAUAACAAAAUAAAUGGAAACAAAAUAAUAUAGGGUUAAAUAUGCAAAUUAUUAAAUUUAAAGAUUGUUAUUUUCAAGAUCUUCUAUAGAUGAUCGAAUUCCGUUACUUCAUCUAAAUCAAUUGCCUAACAACGAGAGGAGGGGAGAAGGUUGGAAAAAACUGGAAGAAAUAAGUUGCAGGUUUUUUACAGAGGUGCGUUUGAUUGAUGCUUCUUAUAUUACCAUCAUUUAAUUAUAAUUAUUACAUAUUAUCAAUGGCAGAUCAACAACGGAGGAUAUGAAGAGAUCGCCGUCGCCAAACCCGAGCUCUUUUACAUCCAAUCUUCUUGGAGGGAGGUUUUGUCUUUGUUCUCCGAUGACGCAUCCUGGCUCCUUCCGACGACGCUUGCACCCACCGUAACGAAAACAAACAAUCAAAUCAUCGGGGUGCCAACAC